rnacentral:rRNA from 1 species
GAUGAACGCUGGCGGCAUGCCUAAUACAUGCAAGUCGAGCGAACAGACGAGGAGCUGGCUCCUCUGGCGUUAGCGGCGGACGGGUGAGGAACACGUGGAUAACCUACCUAUAAGACUGGGAUAACAUCGGGAAACCGGAUCUAAUACCGGAUAAUAUAUUGAACCUCGAGGGUCAAGAGUGAAAGACGGUUGUGCGUUCACUUAUAGAUGGAUCCGGGCCUCAUUAGCUAGUUGGUAAAGUAACUGCUUACCCACGCAACGAUGCUUAGCCGCCCCGAGAGGGUGAUCGCCCACACUGGCACUGAGACACGGUCCAGACUCCUACGGGAGGCAGCAGUCGGGACUCUUCCGCAAUGCGCGAGAGCCUGAUGGAGCAACGCCGCGUGAGUGAUGAUGCUCUUCGGCUCGUAAAAUGCUGUUAUUCGGAAAGAACUAAUGCUUAAGUACCCAUGAACGUCUUGACGGUACCUAAUCAGUAAGCCCCGGCUAACUCCGUG